rnacentral:rRNA from 1 species
UACGUAGGGUGCAAGCGUUAAUCGGAAUUACUGGGCGUAAAGCGUGCGCAGGCGGUUUUGUAAGUUUGUCGUGAAAUCCCCGGGCUCAACCUGGGAAUGGCGAUGAAGACUGCAAGGCUAGAAUCUGGCAGAGGGGGGUAGAAUUCCACGUGUAGCAGUGAAAUGCGUAGAGAUGUGGAGGAACACCGAUGGCGAAGGCAGCCCCCUGGGUCAAGAUUG